UAGAGAAUACGUUUUUAAUUGACUAAGAAUGAUCUUGUUCUCCUGCCCCUGUGAUUCUAAGCUUAUAUUGUAUCGGCAUUGACCACAUCUCCAUAACUUUGGAGGCUGGCAGAGAAUACCCCACUGGACGAGAUCGCACCUCUGCACUCCAGCCUGGGCGACAGAGUGAGACUCCGUCUCAAAAAAAGAAAAAAAAGAAAAGUAAACUAAGCAUUUUGAUUUCUCUAGACAAACUCGUAAACUUUCUUAAAACACUACGAGAUGUUUUCGCAACUUUUUUUUUUUUUUAGUUCAUCAACUAUCAUUAGUGUUAGUGUAUUUUGUGUGUGGCCCAAGAUAAUUCUCCUUGUUCCAGUGUGACCCAGGGAAGCCAAAAGGUUGGACAUCCUUGAAGUAAUGAAAGUUGAUACCAUGGCUGCUUUAUGGCAGAAGUCAGAAAUUGCCUCCCUCCAUUGAUGUGCUCGUUAGUAUUGGAAAGGCAAAUCAAGAAGUUAGGAGAGGCUGCCUUCACACAGCCUUUCAAAUAUAUGAAGUGUUAUGGAAUUACAGCGUUAGAUAAUAUUUUACCUGAAGUUCCAAAAGAGUUUUCUUCCUAUUUA
rnacentral:lncRNA from 1 species